AGCGAACGCUGGCGGCAGGCUUAACACAUGCAAGUCGAGCGGGCAUCCUUGUGGUGUCAGCGGCAGACGGGUGAGUAACGCGUGGGAACGUGCCCUUCGGUUCGGAAUAACUCAGGGAAACUUGAGCUAAUACCGGAUACGCCCUUUUGGGGAAAGGUUUACUGCCGAAGGAUCGGCCCGCGUCUGAUUAGCUAGUUGGUGAGGUUAUGGCUCACCAAGGCGACGAUCAGUAGCUGGUCUGAGAGGAUGAUCAGCCACACUGGGACUGAGACACGGCCCAGACUCCUACGGGAAGCAGCAGUGGGGAAUAUUGGACAAUGGGGGCAACCCUGAUCCAGCCAUGCCGCGUGAGUGAUGACGGCCUUAGGGUUGUAAAGCUCUUUUCUCCGGGACGAUAAUGACGGUACCGGAGGAAUAAGCCCCGGCUAACUUCGUG
rnacentral:rRNA from 1 species